CUCGAGCGAGUGGCGAACGGGUGAGUAACGCGUGAGGAACCUGACCUCAAAGAGGGGGACAACAGUUGGAAACGACUGCUAAUACCGUCAUAAGCCCACGGUGCCGCAUGGGUACAGAGGGAAAAGGAGCAAUCCGCUUUGAGAUGGCCUCGCGUCCGAUUAGCUAGUUGGUGAGGUAACGGCCCACCAAGGCGACGAUCGGUAGCCGGACUGAGAGGUUNAACGGCCACAUUGGGACUGAGACACGGCCCAAACUCCUACGGGAGGCAGCAGUGGGGAAUAUUGCACAAUGGGGGAAACCCUGAUGCAGCGACGCCGCGUGAGCGAAGAAGUAUUUCGGUAUGUAAAGCUCUAUCAGCAGGGAAGAAGAAAUGACGGUACCUGACUAAGAAGCACCGGCUAAAUACGUG
rnacentral:rRNA from 1 species